AAAGUUUAGCAUGUUUUGUACCAUUUUAUACGGUUCUCAUUUUCUAGUUUUUAGUUUUGGCUGGCCUUUGAAAGUUGAUAAUUUUGUUGGACUGAAAAGACACAGAUGCGUACUGGAGCACCUGCAUACUGCUGUGGUUAUUUUUGUGAAAAGUUUCUUUAUUUUUUCUUUUGCAGAUCAAAGAGUUGAAUUCAUACGUGGCUUUGAGGAAAACGUACGCAAGCACUCUCGGAAAUAAAAGGGUUGAACUCUUUGACAUGGGAGCUGGUGCCAGCGAGCCUACAGCUGAUGAGAA